CCUACUUCUCAUCUGCAUAUUCCAUUUUCAUUCUUUGAAUCCAAGAGCUCUUUAAAAGCCAAAGAAAGGGAAACACGAAGUUGGUCAAGUCACAAAUUAGGAAAGUUCUAUUUAGGAGCCUUGGGUAAAAUUACAUACACCUGCAUGAGACCUGAUACUGGAAACUGGAUGAGAAAGCCUGGGGAGGAAGCACUCUGGUUAUGAAGGCCAUCAGGGAGUAUGGAAGCCGAGGAAAAGGGAGAAACAUGAAGCUGGGACCUAUCAUGGAAGAACUAAAUAUUUUCCCCAUCACUGACCUCCUGCCACACACCUGGCCUAGGAGACAAAAAAAAUUGAAGGAGGUCAAGAAGAAGGCAGAACAAUUGCAGGCCCAGCUGCUGCUUCAUGCCAAAGAUUUCGUGCCUCUGAAGCAGAUCUUGCAAUUACAAGAAAAUGGGGUGACUUCAGCAGAGAAUGUGGAGAAUCUACCUCCCACUCUCAGGAAAAAAAAGGAAAACAGCUAUUUUUAAAAAUUGCAUCUUCAAAGAAAAUGGAAACAAAAAAAAUCAGCUUGCUGCUUAUUAAACAUGAG
rnacentral:lncRNA from 1 species